UCCGGCGUAGCUCAAAGGCAGAGCGAUUCCCUGUUAAGGAAUGGGUUGUAGGUUCGAGUCCUACCGCCGGAG
rfam:Candidatus Nomurabacteria bacterium RIFCSPLOWO2_01_FTLL_40_15 rifcsplowo2_01_scaffold_3102, whole genome shotgun sequence.